CUGUCUUCGUCGGAGUUGCUUGAGUUGAGACACAUAAGUCAAAUUUCAUGCCGGUUUUCGGGAAACUGUGCACGACUUCACGGUCGUGACACGACAUUGACGGGCGCGGUGCGGCGGUGUUGGCGCACUGCUGGACUGGAUAUAUUAUUCGCUUGCAGCCAAGACGGUCCGCAUCACCAUUUAAACUGCGCCUGAAUUCACUUCCCCUCAUAUUGUAUUUGUUCUUCUGACUUUCAGCGGGUGAAUAGGGAUCGUCUACGCCGGCUUUUCAGUUCGAAUAUGUUGCUGUCAAAGUUUGGUUCAUUUUCGCAUAUUUGUAAUCCUUCAAGCAUGGACCAUCUACCAGUGAAAAUACAGCUCCAGCCGGUCAAAGUAGAAAAGGAGCCCUUCGAAAAAUCUUACCAAGUGGGAUCCGUACUGGGCAGUGGAGGAUUUGGAACAGUCUACGCCGGCAGCCGGAUCUCUGAUGGCGCACCGGUUGCUGUGAAACAUGUUGCAAAGGAGAGGGUGACUGAAUGGGGCACAAUUAAUGGAUCUAUGGUGCCUUUGGAAAUCCUGCUGCUGAAGAAGGUCAGCUCAUCUUUUCGCGGAGUUAUCAAAUUGCUGGACUAUUACGAGCGGGUGGACGGCUGGCUGAUCGUUAUGGAGAGGCCGGAGCUUGUCAAGGACCUUUUCGACUUCAUCACCGAGAAGGGCGCCCUGGACGAGGACACGGCUCGGGGCUUUUUCCGUCAGGUUUUGGAGGCUGUCAGACACUGCUAUAGCUGCGGUGUAGUACACAGAGACAUCAAAGAUGAAAACCUGCUUGUGGAUCUACGCACCGGGGAGCUCAAGCUUAUUGACUUUGGCUCAGGGGCGAUUCUCAAGGACACAGUCUACACUGAUUUCGAUGGAACAAGAGUAUACAGCCCACCAGAGUGGAUCCGCUUCCAUAGAUACCAUGGUCGCUCGGCGACGGUGUGGUCGCUAGGUGUGCUGCUGUAUGACAUGGUGUGUGGAGACAUCCCCUUUGAGCAGGACGAGGAGAUUCUCAGAGGGAGACUGUACUUCAGGAGGAGGAUUUCAGCUGAGUGCCAGCAGCUGAUCAAAUGGUGCCUGGCCCUGCGGCCCUCAGACCGACCCACCCUGGAGCAGAUUUGCGACCACCCCUGGAUGAGGGCGACGACAGAGUCGCCCAAGUCACCAGAGGAGCCAGUUGCCGGUGACAUCCGCCUCAGGACCAUCGACACAGACUCUUCGUCAAGCACAAGCUCGAGCAAGGAGAGCCUCUGAGGAUGGCUUGAUGGACUGAAAAGACUUUCUGGGGAAAGAAGGGGUGGGGAUGGAGGGAGCGAUAUGGACCCAAGGCCAGCAGCCUGUAGCCCAAACGGCCCAUCAGCGGCUGGGCGCUUGACUCCACUGGUCCGGCAAGAAAAAUAUGUGGAGGAUGCACUGAAGCAGUUGUCGAUGUAAAGCAGAAUAAAAAAAAGUUUACUUAAAUUUGAAAAGAGCAUUUGAAUGUUAUUUAAGUACUUUCAAAAAGUCUGGUAGUGUCGAAUGGCUAAGUAUCAGAGAAAUCUAUCUGGUUUCAGUACUGUCAAUUUGUCAUCCAUAGAACUCAAGUCAUUUGAGUUCUAUGGAAAGCUAAACAACGGGUGAAACAGCUUUCGUAGUUGUCACAUAGCCUCAUGAUGGAGACCUUUCAGUUUAGCUGUGUGACUUGUGGCUGUGAAGGAUGGAUAUUGCUAUAUUUUGAUACAGAAGUUUCAAUUAAACUCCCAUUUUUAU